rnacentral:snRNA from 1 species
AGCUUUGCACAGUGGCAGUAUCGUAGCCAAUGAGGUUUAUCCAAGGUGCGAUUAUUGCUAAUUGAAAACUUUUCCCAAUACCCCACCAUGAUGACUUGAAAUAUAGUCAGCAUUGGCAAUUUUUGACAGUUUCUACGGAGA